ACCUACUAAACCGAGUGAUUAGAGUAUUGCUUUCAUAUGGCGGGAGUCAUUGGUUCAAAUCCAAUAGUAGUUA
rnacentral:tRNA from 1 species